UUAAGGAAGUGAGAUUAUAGUGAGAGUGUACCACUACAUCCCAGUGUAGAAGUAGAACUGAUUCAUCCAUCCUGUGCUGCUCUGCAUCGGUUGUCAUAAUGAGGGCUCUGUUCAGACUGACCCAGGAAAGAGUCCUCUCCUUGGGGCAGAGAGAAAGGAGAACCAUCCUGGAGCUCUACGGCAGCUCCACUCCAGCUCAGCACUGGUGUACAGACAGCGUGGACAUCACCAUGACCCAGUCAGAAAUGUCUUCUUUUUAAGAACAUCACAUUACAAGUAUUCUGGAUGACACCGUGGAAAAGGAACAACAGUAAAGAUGUGAGGCGGCUGCAGGCCAUGGUGACCUCUGUGUUUGGCCUAGUAAAGUCUAGCCAGCACCAGCCACCUCAGUUUGUCCAAGUCCCCUUCCACCACUACAGCCAAGCCCUCCAGGCCACUGUACAGGCCCAUCAAAGGAAACAUGGACUACUCAUGUAGGCACAAGCAAAACAGAACACAAUAUUCUCCUUUGGGAAAAAUGUGUUCCCUUUGAUUUUCUAUUAUUGUUGUUUUUAAUGUAUUUUAUUGUGUAUACAUGAGAACAUUACACACUAAAUAGGAGCAAUUACACAUUUAUUUACAAAAAGUUUAGUGGUCAUUUCAGAAGCAGUAUAACACAGUAUACAACAUCAAAUGGAACAUCUUUCAAGUCAUAUUCACAGUGUCAAGAACAACAUAAGGGCAGGUAGAGUGUAUAAAAUACAGUACAUAUCUGAAAUAAUGUUAUUCAUGUUUUCUAAAUUGAAAUGAUCGGACAUACAUUGCAUUAUUCAAAACUGAUCCCUCCAUCGAACGUACCUUUUGAGAACUACACAUGUUAAUGUUAUUAGGAAGCGACCUGGAAUGCUAGCUUAGGACCACAGCUUGAGAACCGGUUCUACCCAACACAUCUUCAUAUGAACACAAUUUUAGCUAGCAGGGUUGAGGUCAAUUCCAUUUAAAUUCUAGUCAAUUAAGAAAGUAAACCAAAUUCCAAUCCCAAUUUUUCCCAAUUGAAAAGCAUUGAAGAGAAUUGGAAUGUCAGGGUACUUCCUGAAUUGACUGAAACUGAAAUAGAAUAGAAUUGACCCUGGUAGUUUGGGGAGGCCUGUAUGCUACGUUUUAGUUAUCUUACAAUGGAGAAUAAGCUGCAGAGUAAAGAAAAUCCUAUUAGUGUUUAAAUUAUGUCUUAAAUGUCUAUGAUUGAAUGUAAAAACAUUGUCGCUGUCAUUUUUAGAACAAUCCAUUACAAUAUACUGUUUCCUCAACUGUUGUUUUCUUGGUUUGGGGCAUUUACUGUAUUGAUCAAUACCACCACAGAUUAUAGUUCAGUGGCUCUCCUCAACUCCUCAAGCUCUUGGCAGUUGGACUUCCAGUAGCAUACAUGUCAAUCAGGGGAGUGAUUUAUCCCAAACAGUAAGUACCCUGUACACAUGUGGACCUAACACACCACAGGGCAUACAUUUCAGAGGAAGAGCCCUCAUCUACUUAAACUGUAUUCUAAACUACAGCACCAAAGGACAACAACUUUAACACUUCUGUAAUACCUGUCCUGCUGGCUCCAGUGGUCAGCCUUAACGUUACCUCUGUCCGUUAUCCUUUAAAGGCCCAGUGCACUCAAAAACGUGAUUUUCCUAUGUUGUAUAUACACUCACUGGACAGUUUAUUAGGUACAACACCCCGUUUACAAAGAUGCAUCGCACCAAUAGACAAUUAGACACGUGGCCGUGGCUUGCUAUAUAAAGCAGGCAGAAAGUAAUUGAGGCGUUCAAUUGAACGUUAGGAUGGGAAAAAUUUGUGAGCUAAGGGACUUUGAGCAUGGUAUGAUCAUCGGUGUCAGGCACACCGAUUCCAGUAUCUCAGAAAUGGCCGGCCUCCUGGGCUUUUCACGCACGACAGUGUCUAUGGAUUACCAAGAAUGAUGCGAAAAAACAUCCAGUCAGCGGCAGUCCUAUGGGCGAAAACAGCUCGUUGAUGAGAGAGGAGAAUGGAGAAGGAGAAUGGCAAGAAUCGCGCAAGCAGGCGGGCCACAAAUAGGCAAAUAACAGCGCAGUACAACAGUGGUGUGCAGAACGCCAUCUCGGAACUCACAACUCGUCAAUCAUUGUCACGGAUGGGCUAUUGCAGCAGACGACCACAUCAGGUUCCACGCCUAUCAGCUAAAAACAUAAAGUGGUUUCAGUGGACAAUUGAGGAGUGGAAAAACAUUGCCUGCUCUGACGAAUCCCGGUUCUGGUUGCAUCAUGCUGAUGGCAGAAUCAGCAUUUAGCAUUAGCAGCAUAAGUCCAUGGACCAAUCCUGUCUGGUGUCAACGGUACAGGCUGGUGCCGGUGGUGUAAUGGUGUGG